rnacentral:lncRNA from 1 species
AACAGAUUUUGGAUCAUCAGCUGGUGUUGCUUGUUGCAUGCAGAUCUGGACUCCAUUCUCAGGCUCCAUCGGACCAGUUACAGGCUUGAUUGGAGGCUCUGUACUCCUAACAUUUGCUAUUGGAAUCACUGAAACUCCAGAUGGUUGUGGAUCUGUUGUUAGUUGAGGCAAUGGAACAGUAAUCGCAGCAGGAUUUAAU